UACGUAGGGGGCUAGCGUCGUCCGGAAUCAUUGGGCGUAAAGAGCUCGUAGGCGGCUCGGUAAGUCAGGUGUGAAAACUCUAGGCUCAACCUAGAGACGCCACCUGAUACUGCUGUGGCUAGAGUCCGGUAGGGGAGCAUGGAAUUCCUGGUGUAGCGGUGAAAUGCGCAGAUAUCAGGAGGAACACCAGUGGCGAAGGCGGUGCUCUGGGCCGGAACUGACGCUGAGGAGCGAAAGCGUGGGGAGCAAACAGG
rnacentral:rRNA from 1 species